rnacentral:rRNA from 1 species
AUUGAACGCUGGCGGCACGCCUAACACAUGCAAGUCGAGCGGUAGCAUGUUUUGUAGCAAUACAAAAUGAUGACGAGCGGCGGACGGGUGAGGAACACGUAGGAACCUGCCCUUUAGCGGGGGACAACCAAGGGAAACUUUGGCUAAUACCGCGUAAUCUCGAGAGAGGAAAGCUGCCCGCAAGGGUGGCGCUAAAGGAGGGGCCUGCGUCCGAUUAGCUAGUUGGUGAGGUAAAGGCUCACCAAGGCGAUGAUCGGUAACUGGUCUGAGAGGACGACCAGUCACACUGGGACUGAGACACGGCCCAGACUCCUACGGGAGGCAGCAGUGGGGAAUAUUGGACAAUGGGGGCAACCCUGAUCCAGCGAUGCUGCGUGGGUGAAGAAGGCCUUCGGGUUGUAAAGCCCUUUAGGUCGGGAAGAAGGACGAUUAGUUAAUAGCUAGUUGUUUUGACGGUACCGACAGAAUAAGCACCGGCAAACUCUGUGCCAGCCGCCGCGGUAA